GGCGAUCAGAUACCGCCCUAGUUCUGACCGUAAACGAUGCCAACUAGCGAUCCGCCGAUGGAAAUUAUAUUGCCUUGGUGGGGAGCUUCCCGGAAACGAAAGUCUUCCGGUUCCGGGGGAAGUAUGGUUGCAAAGCUGAAACUUAAAGGAAUUGACGGAAGGGCACCACCAGGAGUGGAGCCUGCGGCUUAAUUUGACUCAACACGGGGAAACUCACCCGGCCCGGACACUGUGAGGAUUGACAGAUUGAUAGCUUUUUCAUGAUUCAGUGGAUGGUGGUGCAUGGCCGUUCUUAGUUCGUGGAGUGAUUUGUCUGGUUUAUUCCGAUAACGAGCGAGACUCUAACCUACUAAAUAGCUGGUACAUACUCUUAGUGUAUACAGCUUCUUAGAGGGAUUUGCGGUGUUCAGCCGAAAGAAAUUGAGCAAUAACAGGUCUGUGAUGCCCUUAGAUGUCCGGGGCUGCACGCGCGCUACACUGGCAAAAUCAACGUGCUUGUCCUACCCCGAAAGGGGCGGGUAAACCAUUGAAAAUUUGCCGUGAUUGGGAUCGGAAAUUGCAAUUAUUUUCCGUGAACGAGGAAUUCCAAGUAAGUGCGAGUCAUCAGCUCGCGUUGAUUACGUCCCUGCCCUUUGUA
rnacentral:rRNA from 1 species